GGACAUCGAUAUUCGUUAUUUAUUUUAUUGUUCAUUUUUUCCUCAAAUAGUCAGCAGUCUAACAACCAUCCGAACUUCUUAGAGAUUGACUUUUUCUUACUUCGUAAAUUCAGUUACUAGUCAUUUCACUGCAGCUUUGUCCGCCAACGUUUGGGGUGCAAACUUUACAAUACUCAAAUACAUUGAUCACAACAUGC